rnacentral:sRNA from 1 species
GUCAGGCAAGGUAGCAUUAGCCUGUGGUCCCAGCUACUUGGGAGACCGAGGCAGGAGAACCGCUUGAGGUGAGGAGCUUGAGGUCAGUCUGGCCAACAGGGUGAGAUGCUGCCUCAA